rnacentral:rRNA from 1 species
UUGGCUUAGAAGCAGCCAUCCUUGAAAGAGUGCGUAAUAGCUCACUGGUCAAGUGAUUCUGCGCCGAUAAUGUAGCGGGGCUCAAGUACACCGCCGAAGUUGUGGCAAUGACCCUUUGGGGUUGUUGGGUAGGGGAGCGUCGUGUGGCCGGUGAAGCUGCGGUGUAAACCAGUGGUGGAGGCUAUGCGAGUGAGAAUGCAGGCAUGAGUAGCGAAAGAUGAGUGAGAAACUCAUCCGCCGGAUGAUCAAGGGUUCCAGGGUCAAGUUAAUCUGCCCUGGGUUAGUCGGGGCCUAAGGCGAGGCCGACAGGCGUAGUCGAUGGAUAACGGGUUGAUAUUCCCGUACCGGUGAAAAACCGCCCAUACUGAUAUUGUGAUGCUAACCAUGCGAAGCAUGAUGUGCAGGCUUUUGUUUGUGUGUUGUGUGGGUUGUGGGACCCGAUCUUUGGAGGUAAACGUGUUAACAGGUGUGACGCAGGAAGGUAGCCAAGCCACGCGAUGGUUGUCGUGGUCUAAGCGUGUAGGGUUGUCGGUUGUUAAAUGCGCCGGCUGUGUGCCUGAGACGUGAUGGGACCCCGUUUUUGGGGGAUUUGGUGAUCCUAUGCUGCCGAGAAAAGCAUCGGCGUGAGGUUUUAGCCGCCCGUACCCUAAACCGACACAGGUGAUCAGGUAGAGAAUACUAAGGCGAUCGAGAGAAUCAUGGUUAAGGAACUCGGCAAAAUGCCCCCGUAACUUCGGGAGAAGGGGGACCUUGAGCGUGAUGGGCACUUGCUGCCUGGAGCGUGUAUGGGUCGCAGAGACCAGGGGGAAGCGACUGUUUAUCAAAAACACAGGUCCGUGCGAAGUCGUAAGACGAUGUAUACGGACUGACUCCUGCCCGGUGCUGGAAGGUUAAGAGGAUUGGUUAGCCUUUUUUGGGCGAAGCUGAGAAUUUAAGCCCCAGUAAACGGCGGUGGUAACUAUAACCAUCCUAAGGUAGCGAAAUUCCUUGUCGGGUAAGUUCCGACCUGCACGAAUGGCGUAACGACUUCUCCGCUGUCUCGACCGUGAACUCGGCGAAAUUGCAGUACGAGUAAAGAUGCUCGUUUCGCGCAGAAGGACGGAAAGACCCCGGGACCUUUACUAUAGCUUGGUAUUGGUGUUCGCUUGGACUUGUGUAGGAUAGGUGGGAGACUGUGAAGCUGCCGCGCCAGCGGUGGUGGAGUCGUCGUUGAAAUACCAUUCUGGUUCAAGCGGUCACCUCAACCUUGGCCCGUGAUCCGGGUUGGGGACAGUGCCUGGUGGGUAGUUUAACUGGGGCGGUUGCCUCCUAAAAUGUAACGGAGGCGCUCAAAGGUUCCCUCAGCCUGGUUGGUAAUCAGGUGGCGAGUGCAAGUGUACAAGGGAGCUUGACUGUGAGACCGACGGGUCGAGCAGGUGCGAAAGCAGGAACUAGUGAUCCGGCCAUGGCACGUGGGUGCGUGGUCGCUCAACGGAUAAAAGGUACCCCGGGGAUAACAGGCUGAUCUUGCCCAAGAGUCCAUAUCGACGGCAUGGUUUGGCACCUCGAUGUCGGCUCGUCGCAUCCUGGGGCUGGAGUCGGUCCCAAGGGUUGGGCUGUUCGCCCAUUAAAGCGGUACGCGAGCUGGGUUCAGAACGUCGUGAGACAGUUCGGUCCCUAUCCGCUGCGCGCGUUGGAAAUUUGAGAAAGGCUGUCCUUAGUACGAGAGGACCGGGACGGACGAACCUCUGGUAUGUCAGUUGUACCGCCAGGUGCAUGGCUGAUUGGCUACGUUCGGGAGGGAUAACCGCUGAAAGCAUCUAAGCGGGAAGCCUGUUUCGAGAUGAGAUUUCCUGGCACUUUUGGUGUGUGAGGCUCCUUAUAGAUGAUGAGGUUGAUAGGCCGGGUAUGGAAGCGGGGACUGAAGACUCGUGGAGUUGACUGGUACUAAUAGGC